rnacentral:tRNA from 1 species
GCCGCCUUAGCUCAGCUGGUAGAGCGCUUGACUUGUAAUCAUGAGGUCUCCGGUUCGAUUCCGGGAGGCGGCU